ACCUGACCCUCUUGUCCGUCCUGCCCACUCCUCCAGGAAGGGACAGAGCAGGCUGAACCCGCUCAGUCUGUACCCCUCUGCACCCCGCUUCUGGUACUGGAGGCAGCACUGUCUAUCCCAUAAGUCUUCCCAAAGCUCCCCAUAGAUCCUGUUCACAGAGCCAGCACUGUGGGGAUAUUCUGGUUUGCAGAGACUCAGGGCAGCCCCUGGCUUGGUUGAGGACUGGAUGGAUGAGUGAGUGCGUAGCUUGUCUCGCUCACUGGCCUGAUGGGACAUGGAGACUGAGCCUACUUAGUUGGUGCUUCCCGGGUCCAGCCAGGCUCUGACCCUAACAACCUGGGUGGCAGGACGUGCUGGCACCUGCCAUGCUUCCUCAUGCCCUCCUCGCCCUGUGCUGACUCCAGAGGCUCCAGAGGCACCACAGGCACCACCCCCAACAGUCCUCGAGGCCCUCCAUGAUGAGACUUAGCUGAGCCACCAAGUUAGUAAACACGCCGACAGAAAGAUUGAAAUGCAUGCCAGAGGCCACACUGGGGUAGAGACACCGACUGUCAGUCUCUCCCUCCUCUUCUCACCUCUAGGACUGUUCACCCCCCAUCCCAUGCACGCACAUCGGUGUGGUAACUGGAUGGUCUCCAGCUUCCGAAGCCCCGAAUGGUGCUGAAAAAGAGAGGCCUGCCUUCCCCAAGAUGGAUGAAACUGAGCACUGGGAACCUGAGGAUGCUUGGCAGCCCCACAGAAUUCAUGGGGUGAGAGUCAAGGAGGAAGUAGGUGCCCGAGGGGAAACAGAGGCAGCCAGGAGCUCAGGGCUGUGUGCAGCCCACCCUUCACUCCUGACAGAGGUGUUCGGCUCUUCUGUCCCUGUGUGACAAAAGCAACCAAUCAAAUGCUUCCGCAUGAAUCCAUCCCCUCUGAGGAUGACAGGACAAAGUCAAAAGUUGUCCAGAAGCUGGUGGACAGCUCAAUGGUAAAAUCCCUGCUUCACAUAUGCACAGCCCUGGCUUCAGUGCCCAGCACCCAGAGAAAAACAGAAUGAAAACACAGACACAUGCCUUUACU